rnacentral:rRNA from 1 species
AGGUUGAGGCUGGCUCAGGAUGAACGCUAGCGGGAGGCCUAAGACACCCUAGACAAAGCGGGAUGUGUGGGUUAGCUUGCUGAAUGACGAUGACAGCGGAGUACAGGUGCGGAUGAUGUGUGCAAUCUGGCCGUAUCAAGGGGAUAGCCCAGAGAAAUCUGGAUUAAUACCCUAUAACAUAUGGGAUGGGAUCUUUUCAUAUUAUAAGCUACGGCGGAUAAGGAUGACCACGCACAAUAUUAGCUAAUUGGUAAGGUAACGGCUUACCAAGGCGACGAUCUUUAGGGGGCCUGAGAGGGUGAUCCCCCACACUGGGACUGAGACACGGCCCACACUCCUACGGGAGGCAGCACUGAGGAAUAUUGGACAAUGGGUGGAAGCCUGAUCCAGCCAUCCCGCGUGCAGGAUGACUGCCCUAUGGGUUGUGAACUGCUUUUAUCUAGGGAUAAACCUACUCUCGUGAGAGUAGCUGAAGGUACUAUAUGAAUAAGCACCGGCUAACUACGUGCCAGCAGCCGCGGUAAUACGUAGGGUGCGAGCGUUAAUCGGAAUUACUGGGCGUAAAGCGGGCGCAGACGGUUACUUAAGCAGGAUGUGAAAUCCCCGGGCUCAACCUGGGAACUGCGUUCUGAACUGGGUGACUAGAGUGUGUCAGAGGGAGGUAGAAUUCCACGUGUAGCAGUGAAAUGCGUAGAGAUGUGGAGGAAUACCGAUGGCGAAGGCAGCCUCCUGGGAUAACACUGACGUUCAUGCCCGAAAGCGUGGGUAGCAAACAGGAUUAGAUACCCUGGUAGUCCACGCCCUAAACGAUGUCGAUUAGCUGUUGGGCAGCAUGACUGCUUAGUAGCGAAGCUAACGCGUGAAAUCGACCGCCUGGGGAGUACGGUCGCAAGAUUAAAACUCAAAGGAAUUGACGGGGACCCGCACAAGCGGUGGAUGAUGUGGAUUAAUUCGAUGCAACGCGAAGAACCUUACCUGGUCUUGACAUGUACGGAACCCUCCAGAGACGGAGGGGUGCCUUCGGGAGCCGUAACACAGGUGCUGCAUGGCUGUCGUCAGCUCGUGUCGUGAGAUGUUGGGUUAAGUCCCGCAACGAGCGCAACCCUUGUCAUUAGUUGCCAUCAUUAAGUUGGGCACUCUAAUGAGACUGCCGGUGACAAGCCGGAGGAAGGUGGGGAUGACGUCAAGUCCUCAUGGCCCUUAUGACCAGGGCUUCACACGUCAUACAAUGGUCGGUACAGAGGGUAGCCAAGCCGCGAGGUGGAGCCAAUCUCACAAAACCGAUCGUAGUCCGGAUUGCACUCUGCAACUCGAGUGCAUGAAGCCGGAAUCGCUAGUAAUCGCAGGUCAGCAUACUGCGGUGAAUACGUUCCCGGGUCUUGCACACACCGCCCGUCAA